rnacentral:lncRNA from 1 species
UGUAGAUCAGAUAUAGCAGACUGGCACUCUUCCUGCCGGCGGGAUCUCUCUCCCCUCCUCGUUGCAGUAGCACGGGUGCUGCUGAGCGUCCGGCGGUGAGCUCAGCGAGCGCCGAGCAGUACCGCACUGUACCCCGCGCCGCUCCGCACGGAGCCCCCGCGGCGGCGGCCGCCGCGCUGCCAGCGCUGAGGCGUGAGGGCGGCCCCA